CCAUUAGUUGUCUUGUCCUUUCUGGCUGCAUAUGUGCCAUGUUCAUACUUUUUUUUUUUUUCAGGGAACAACUGUAUUUUACCUUUUCUUGGCAUCUGGGACAUCUUCACUGCCACAUAUUCCUUUAGCUGAAAUAAGAGGACUGCACUGUCAAUGGAUUGACUGUGGAAGGGGGAAGAAAGCAUAAAUGAAAAGGAACAGGAGCUACGAUAAUUAUCCUAAGAAGAGCUGAAAUGCUGCUCCUAUUAUUUUUAAGCUUAUUUGUUUUGCUGUUGGAUCAACUCAUUGUUUAAGUCAUCUCAUUCUCAGUCAAACCUAGUAUUCAUUUUUUCAGAAGAACAGCCAGGCUUUUAAAUGUUUUGCACUGUAUCCGGAGACUGGGACAAGUAUUUGGCAUUGCUGAGAACAGGACCUACUGCCCCAUCUUGACUGCAGAAACAGAAUAUAAAACACGCUCAAGAUGAAAAGCCUUUAUCCUUACAUUUUAGCACUUUGUGGACAUUGGCAGUAAUUGUUUUACCCGCUUAAAGGGAGGACAAAUGAAAAAGGAAGAAAACAGCCAAGUAAGAAGGAAGUUCAGAGAGCCUUUCAAACGUGCUCUGUUCUGCUUAGGGCCAAGUUUUGCUUCCUUUCCAGUGCCAGGUUGUCUGUAGAGGGUUUUUUGUUUGCUUGUUUGAAGGAGGUGGGAAGCUAGAUUUAUUUAUAUUAAUACAGUUGCAUCAUCCAGGUACUGAGGUGUAAUAUCAAUCAUAAAAGUGUCAUGGUGCUUGAGGAUCUCUUUUCUGUAGGACUAUGGCAACAUCAAUGCAUUUUGGAAAGAUGCAGUUGCAAAAGAAAACUGUGCAUAUCUGGACAUCUCAAACUUAGUUCACAUAAAGGCUGAAGGGGGAAGGAGAGGCUAACUGAGAUUAUGGAAUGGUAAUUCAUUAGGUCAUUGUGAUUUGUCUGCAUUAUUUUUCAAAUCAUUUUCUAUCCCUAGUAAAUGAUGCACAAGUAUUUUUUAUUUGUUUGUUUAGAUAGUCAACAUCAUCUGUUUCUUGAAAGAUGUGCGUUAUCCACAGAUUGACAGAGAUAUGGAUAAUUUCUAUCUGUCUAAUUUUGAAUCAGAACUUGCUCACAUCAGGAGUUCUCUUUCCAGCAAUAAGCACACACUGGACACUUAGGCAUUAGUAAGAAGCUCGUAUGCUUAAAUAUAUACAAACCGUAAAGCCUGAGCUGACACUCGUUUUUCCCUCCAAAGCUUUUUGUUUUGUUUUCCUUAUUCCUGUUACCCCUUGGAGGAGGUGACCCAGGCCUUUUGUUUUACUACAGGAUCUGGGCUAAAAAGCUGCAGUUUUGUGGUUUCCUUGGAGUCCAGUUCUCAGUAGAGAAGAAUCUUGAUAGUGUAUUUUAUUUUUCUUCCCCACCAGUUCUUCUGUUUUCCUUCUCCUCAGACUGAUAAUCUCCUGCCUUUAUGGUUGUUACUCUAAGCCUUUGGCAGCUCUCCUUUUCUCUUUCUCUUUUCCAUUUUUAAAUAUUUUUUUUUUUCAAGGGAACCCUGGCAGCAAAAUGCCCUCACCUCAGACUUUUGGCUUGAGUCUCAGACAUUUGAGGGUUUUUGCAGGCCCUCAGGCUAUUUAAUGCUGCAGCUGUGACAAUGACUUUAAGUACAGCAGAGGAAGAAUAAAAAUUUGGAUCCUGUUUAGGCA
rnacentral:lncRNA from 1 species